GACGAACGCUGGCGGCGUGCUUAAUACAUGCAAGUCGAACGAUGAAGAAAAGAAUCGAAGCUUCGGCAGAAAUUCAUGUCGGAUUAGUGGCAGACGGGUUAGUAACGCUUGAGCAACCUACCUCUUACAAAGGGAUAGCCUCGGUAAACCGGGAUUAAUACCAUAUAACAUUUUGACGAAGCAUGUCGAUGCAAUCAAAGCUACGGCGGUAAGCGAUGCGCCCGCGUCCCAUUAACCGGAUGGUGAGGUAACGGCUCACCAUAGUGACGAUGGGUAACCGGGCAGAGAGGGUGGACGGUCACACUGGAGCUGAGACACGGUCCAGAAUCCUACGGGAGGGAGCAGUGGGGGAUAGUGCACAAUGGAGGGAACGAUGAUGGAGCGCGGACGGGUGAAUGAUGAAAGAAUUGAUUACGUAAAGCGCAGUUCUAUGGGAAGAAAAGGACGGUACCAUAGGAGAAAGCCCCGGCUAAAUACGUG
rnacentral:rRNA from 1 species